rnacentral:rRNA from 1 species
CCUACGGGAGGCAGCAGUGGGGAAUUUUGGACAAUGGGGGCAACCCUGAUCCAGCCAUGCCGCGUGUGUGAAGAAGGCCUUCGGGUUGUAAAGCACUUUCGGACGGAACGAAAUCGCGCGGGUUAACAGCCCGCGUGGAUGACGGUACCGUAAGAAGAAGCACCGGCUAACUACGUGCCAGCAGCCGCGGUAAUACGUAGGGUGCGAGCGUUAAUCGGAAUUACUGGGCGUAAAGCGUGCGCAGGCGGCGCCGCAAGUCGAGUGUGAAAUCCCCGAGCUUAACUUGGGAAUUGCGCUCGAAACUACGGUGCUGGAGUGUGGCAGAGGGAGGUGGAAUUCCACGUGUAGCGGUGAAAUGCGUAGAGAUGUGGAGGAACACCGAUGGCGAAGGCAGCCUCCAGGGCCAACACUGACGCUCAUGCACGAAAGCGUGGGGAGCAAACAGGAUUAGAUACCCUGGUAGUCCACGCCCUAAACGAUGAUGACUAGUUGUUGGGGGAGUUAAAUCCCUUAGUAACGCAGCUAACGCGUGAAGUCAUCCGCCUGGGGAGUACGGUCGCAAGAUUAAAACUCAAAGGAAUUGACGG